UUGAAAGGGAAACGAUUGAAGUCAGUCGUACCGACGAGAAAUCAGCUUAUCGUGUGUGAACUUGCGGGCGUGCGUGAGUUUCGGCCUCGCUGUUUGCAUGUUUGUGCGCUUUGGGUGUACUUUUUCGUAUGGUUGGCCAACAUCAGUUUCGAUCACUAUAAAAUGACUGGCGGAAUGUAGCUUCGAUUUCGGUUGAAGUGUUAUAGCCUCUGGUAGAUGUGGUGAUUGGGACUGAGGAUUGCAACGAAUAUCCUUUGGCUAUCCGUCUGGCCUCUGAAAGUUGCUUGGGUGCUGAAAGCUUGCUUAUGGUUAUCUAAGUUAACGGUCAAUAGGUUAGAACGCGAUUACAUUCGUUAAGGAUGUUGACGUA
rnacentral:rRNA from 1 species